UACACUAUAGUUAGUGACCGCUAGUCCAACACAAGCGUUAUUGAAUCAUUCAUCCAAGAAAUGAAAUGAAUAUUCGGUACCUCGAAUAAUUCUGCUUAUUCUGGGUUCUUGACGCCUUUUGAAACCCAGAAUAAGCAGAAUAAUGCUUUGGCGCUUGACAUUAAGGUCAGCGUUUCAAAUGAUAUUAGGUGGGCGCACCGUUGAGCUAACGGUACUCCCAGAAUGUCUUUCUUAAGAUGAUUUAAAAGUAAGAAACAUCCCCAGCCAGGUAAGGUCACACCCAUAUCUCUCAGGUCCUCAUGCCCAGAUGAAGGCUGGUCCUGGGCUCACUAAAACAAGUAAAGUUAAGUUUGUUGAAGGAUGGUUAAGUGUAGAAUGUUUUACCCUAGGAGAAUUAAUGAUAAGAAUUGCAAGUAUUUUUCUUUAAGCAUUUUUCUAUUAUAGGCUAUUGCCAAAUUUCUUUAGACUACUUUAGACUUUCUUUUGACCGGUUAAAGAAAUAUUGUAAUUUGGGUCAGAACGGCCCGUCUCUUACUGGUGCCGUUUUUUCUUUCGCUUUUUUUUCAUUUCAUAAUAGCAUAAUAUCGCUCCUAUAAAAUCACACAUUUAUCAUUACCUAUUAUCGCGCAGCAAACCCUGCCUUAAUUCUUACACAAGUUUGUGAGCAGCCUACUAUGCGCAUUGAUUCCAGGCAUGUCUGCGAUGCACAGACACAACUUUGAUUUCUGCUUGUAAUCACCUUGGCUGCGGUCCAGGAUUUGACGCACAGGCUCUGGCGAGUCUUCGUCAUCCCAGGGCUCCUCAACUGUUCAACCCUGAUGCACUUCGUCUCGAUCGAUGUCCUCCCACCAUCGAGACAGUAGCUCAUUGGCAAGCAAAGACUCCAGUUCGCUUCACUUCCCGAUCUAACCGGACACUGCAUCUAUCGGAGGUCAAUCAGGGGGGGGCAACGCGCAUUCUGGAUGCUAGGGGAUACUAAACACCGGACCGAGAGGAUGCUAUUGCCGAAACCAUUAAAUGCAUUUUUCUUUCAUGACGGAAAAUAUACUAAAAUAGGCUGUAAUAGUGUAAUUUCCAUCAAUGUUGUUGUGAUGCAGACUUAUUUGACUCGGUAAUGUGACCAACAACGUGUGCUCACAGAAACAAGGCAGAGUAAAUCAAUGCAGAACUCCUCAUCAGCGCUCCUCGGGAUGGUCAGCCACUGUCAACCCCCACCCUUUACUGAUCUCACGGGCUUUGCGCUUUCAAUGUACAGCAGUAAGACAGAACUGUGUGCCAGACGCGCCGGAAACGAUGGUUUUGGAUCUCAGAUCGGUCGAAAUCAUCACACCUCGACUCACGUGAACUGCUACGGUUCAAAGAGGAUCGGCGCGCCGUACGAAGAUCGCUAUGGAGCGCAAGAAAAAGCGCAGCUCAUCGCCAAGGUUUCCAGCGCCUGCUUUCCUCUCUCACCGGAGCAAGUGAACGGCGUCUACGGCCCUGAGAAGGACAGUGCCAGUGAACUUGGCG